rnacentral:rRNA from 1 species
UCUGCCCGAUAGUGGGGGAUAACGUGGGGAAACCCACGCUAAUACCGCAUACGUCCUACGGGAGAAAGCAGGGGAUCUUCGGACCUUGCGCUAUCGGAUGAGCCUAUGUCGGAUUAGCUAGUUGGUGAGGUAAUGGCUCACCAAGGCGACGAUCCGUAGCUGGUCUGAGAGGAUGAUCAGCCACACUGGGACUGAGACACGGCCCAGACUCCUACGGGAGGCAGCAGUGGGGAAUAUUGGACAAUGGGGGAAACCCUGAUCCAGCCAUGCCGCGUGUGUGAAGAAGGCCUUCGGGUUGUAAAGCAUCUUUCAGUCGAGGAAGAA